UAAAUAGCCAGGCCGUCUUUGGAUGGUCGCCGGCUUCUUAGAGGGACUGUCAGCGUCUAGCUGACGGAAGUUUGAGGCAAUAACAGGUCUGUGAUGCCCUUAGAUGUUCUGG
rnacentral:rRNA from 1 species